rnacentral:tRNA from 1 species
AGGGUAAUAGCUCAGUGGUAGAGUGUAAGUUUAGCAUGCAUGAGGUCCUGGGUUCAAUCCCAAGUACCUCCA